UACGAGGGGGGCAAGCGUUAUUCAAUAUAACUAGGCGUAAAGCGUCUGUAGGCGGCAAGUUUCGUUAUCAUAAAAAAUUAAAGCCCAACUUUAAAACAUUGAUAAAACGUACUUUGCUAGAGUCAUAGAGAGGAUCGUAGAAUUUCUGAAGUAGGGAUGGAAUCCUGUCACAUCAGGAAGGAAUACCAAAGGCGAAGGCAACGAUC
rnacentral:rRNA from 1 species